CCGCCUGCCCUGUGACAUUGUUUAACGGCCGCGGUAUUAUGACCGUGCGAAGGUAGCGUAAUCACUUGUCUUUUAAUUGAAGACCUGUAUGAAAGGCAUCACGAGAGUUUACCUGUCUCUAUUUUCUAAUCAAUGAAAUUGAUUUCCCCGUGCAGAAGCGGGGAUAUAGUCAUAAGACGAGAAGACCCUAUGGAGCUUUAAACACUUAAGUUACUAUCUUACUUAUCAAUUAAUCUAAAGACCUAACCUCCCCUAAUAGUAGCCUAACUUAAUGUUUUCGGUUGGGGCGACCAAGGAGUAAAAGAAAACCUCCUUAUCGAUUGAGUAUUUUUACUUAAAAACCAGAACGACAGUUCUGAUCAAUAGAAUAUCUAACGAAUAAUGACCCAGGGCUACACCCUGAUCAAUGAACCAAGUUACCCUAGGGAUAACAGCGCAAUCCUUUCUAAGAGUCCAUAUCGCCGAAAGGGUUUACGACCUCGAUGUUGGAUCAGGACAUCCUAAUGGUGCAACCGCUAUUAAGGGUUCGUUUGUUCAACGAUUAAUAGUCCUACGUGAUCUGAGUUC
rnacentral:rRNA from 1 species